GAUCAUGGCUCAGGACGAACGCUGGCGGCGUGCCUAAUACACGCAAGUAGAACGCUGAAGGAGGAGCUUGCUUCUCUGGAUGAGUUGCGAACGGGUGAGUAACGCGUAGGUAACCUGCCUGGUAGCGGGGAUAACUAUUGGAAACGAUAGCUAAUACCGCAUAACAGUAGAUAUUGCAUGAUAUCUGCUUGAAAGGUGCAAUUGCAUCACUACCAGAUGG
rnacentral:rRNA from 1 species